CCCAAAGUUGAGCACAUAGUUCUCAUCUCGAGUGUCAGCUUCUGAGACUGUCUUCUCAUUACUAGGAGUGUGUGCAUCCCAGGCAGGCGUGUUUGGAUGAGGAUAUUAAACCCCUUAAUGUCUCUACCCUGUAUUGCUACUCUGUGAAGUCUGGGAGGGCUGCCUCAGAGAGGAGGGUAAGACUGAGAACCUGUUCUCAUAAGCCAUGUGCUGAUUGCAGUGAAGAAUACUUGGGCAGAUUUUCUUUGUCUUUGUCUUCUGUCUUCCAGAAAUGGUCUCAAAAUGGAAGCCUUGCUGGUUAGUCCAGGACAUGUGACUCUGAUCCCAAAUCAGUUCACCUCUGUUGAUAAGUUAAGUUCUCAGUUUGUUUCAAAGGGCUUUGCCCUGCUACUUUAAUGUGCUGAAAAUCUUAAAUGUAAGGAAAUAUAUUCUCCUUUAAAAUUGUAAAUUUUAAGCAUCCAUUACCUGCUGAAUUGUAAAACACUUGAUCGUAACUUUAAUUUGCUUGAGGAAAUGCCAGUAUCUCUUAAACAGGGCUUGUAUUUGUUCACAGGAAAACAUGAAUUCCUGCAGGAGAAUCUGUAAAUACUCUUAUCUGCACCGCAGAGACUUUACUCCACUUCAGACUGGGUAGAGGCUUUCCAAGAAGGUGUUGAAUACGCAGUAGUAACAGCUAUAACAGUCUGAGGAAAUAACACUUCAGAAGCCAGCCUGUAUCCCCAUGUCUCCUGAGCACGGUUUGUGUCUGCCAGCAAUACCGACUGGAUCUGCUGAAAAACUGAGAGCUGGGAGUCCUCAGCAUGCAGAGCACCUGGGCAGCGUCCCUGCGAGAGCCGUCAGAGCGGCCUUGUUCCCUGCAGAGCACGCAGGGCCCCAGGGCCAGCUGUGGCUGACUGAUGGCUGGCAAGGAGCACGCGGUGAGAGACCUGUUAGGUCCCUAGGCUGGAGCCAUCUAGGACUCCAAGUGUCUAGGGAGAGCAAAGGACUAAACCAUCUGCUCAUGAUCUCUUAUUGA
rnacentral:lncRNA from 1 species